rnacentral:tRNA from 1 species
GCCCCGUUCGUCUAGCGGUCUAGGACGUAGCCCUCUCAAGGCUAAAACAGGGGUUCGAUUCCCCUACGGGGCA